CAUCAUAGCCCGUCUCAGUCGCUUCAUUCAAGUCAGCGGGGUGAGAAAUAAAGUUCGUCCUGGGCCUGCGUACGGUACAGCGCCCUUGGGAAGCCCUUGUGGAGUUAAGGGUGAUGCCCACUUCUUUGUCUCCCUCAUUCUGUUUCGGUGGCUCUCUCGUUCCCAGUUCCAAGCUGCCCACUUGUUAGAGGAGCCACUGCUUACCAGGCAUCUGGUUUAAUAAAACAUGGCUAGAGCGACUGCAUGUUAAAGUGAGUAACUAGGCACUCACAAGGCACCUAUAAGGUUAAUGCUAAAGGUCUGAAAAUAGCCGCAUUCUAAGCUGACCAACAAUUAUAAUUACACAAUAUUUAUGGCCAUACAGGACAUCUCCCACCAAGUCUGCGGAAUUGUCCAGAUGUCCUGAGUUUUUUUUUUUUUUUUAGACAAGGUCUCACUUUGUCGCCCAGGCUAGGCUGGAGGGCAGUGUGGUGCGAUCUCAGCUCACUGCAACCUCCGCCUCCCAGGUUCAAGUAGUUCUCCUGCCUCAGCCUCCUGAGUAGCUGGGACUACAGGCAUGCACCACCACGCCUGGCUACUGGCUUUUUUUUUUUUUUUUUUUUUUUUAAAUAGAUGGCAUCUCAGUAUGUUGCCCAGGCUGGUCUCGAACUCCUGGGCUCAAGGGAGACUCCUGUCCGGCCUCCCACAGUGCUGGGAUUACAGACGUGGCCACCGAGCCCGGCCCAGCCCUCUACUCAGAGAUAACGUCAAUGCGCAGGCUUAGGUUGAAGGAUUAAUGGUCAUUAGUGCACCAACAGCCCCUACCUUUAGUGGGCACAUCAGCACAUUCCACGAUUA
rnacentral:lncRNA from 10 species